rnacentral:misc_RNA from 1 species
GAGUUCGCGGGAGAGUAAGUUAUUGCCAGGGUUUUUAUUUUAUACUUUAAACAUUGAUUUUAUUUUUUAUGUUUUUAGAUGUUCAUGUUUUUGAAUGUUUUAUUCGAAUAAUAUAAAAAAUAAAAUAUAUAUUGACAUGGAUUAAACAAAGAUAUAUAUUAUUCUAUGUUGUAUAAACAAUAUGGCAAAAUAGAGAUGGAAGAUAAAAAUAUGGUCAAAGUAAUAAGAGUCUAUGGUGAAUGCC